CCUCACCGAACUCUCACCUGCUCACCCUCACCGAACUCUCACCUGCUCACCCUCACCCUCCAUUCUUUUCUCCAAAAAUAGGAUUUUAAUUUAAAUCGUGGCAUCUCUUAAAAUUUCUCUGUGAAACCCUAGAUAUCACAAAGGACCUUUAUUCCGCCACAAUCGAACACCAUGGAAGUCGAUAAACACGUUCUCAAAAACUUUCAUAUCACAGCCCUAAAACGCAUUUUCCUUCAAUCUUCUUUUGAUCGGUGGGAUUUUCUAUAAAGGGAAAAGAAGCAUGAGGUUGACCCAUGAACGACUUUGAAGGAUCUCAUUCUCACAAGGCCUCCAUGUCGGCGUCCACCACAAAUUAAUCAUUGUCAUCGUCAUUUGCAUUUCUCAAUGGACUCCUCCUGCAUGACAAAUAACCAGAAGUCUAGAACAUGACAGAAUCUGACUCUACACAUGCUGCUAGAAGGAACAUGCAUGUAGAACCUGAAAGAACACUAAUUGAUGCACAGACGGAUGAGUUUGAGAACAUUCUACAUUCUUUAACAUUAGAGAGAAGUAUGAUAAAGGUGAUUACGUGGUUUUCUUUGGAUAACACCAAUGCAGCUAGCGAGUGUGAAGUUGGCGUGGGAGACUAAGGAUUGUUUCAUUUCAAGUUUUAUGUUUUAUAGAAACAUGGAGUGAUGGUAAGCCAAACUUUUAAUACAACCAUCGUUAGAGAAAGAAUUGCAUAACUUCUUGAUGUUGCUAAAUAUUACUUAGAUCAGUGAGGCAGAAUUUGGUAUGUCUUGGUGUGCUGGUUUGGAGGCUCAUUCUAUAAUUCUUAUUUUUGGCUUUCUUGUUUCAAGUUGAGGUAAUUCCUAAACAGCCAAGUGACUGAUUUGGUUCCACCAAGGUUUUUCGUGUGUAUUUCAGUUUUGGUGGCUCUUAGCACUGGGUGUCUCAAUACAAUAAGCAUGUAAACUGAUUCGGUUCUAACAAGGUUUUUCGUGUGUAUUUCAAUUUUGGUGGCUCUUGGUACUGUGUGUGUGUGUAGAGAGCAUGGUGCAUGUACACAUUGGCGUCGUAGGAUUCCUACAAUUAAAGAAAAUGUUUGCAGGUGUUAUGCUGUGUUUUUUCUUUAAAUUUUCUAGUAGCUUGUAAAUAAUAACUUAUGGUUCUCGACCAUGAUUGAUUCUUGUAAAUAAUAGAAAUAAAUGUAAUUAAAAUUUUAAUUGACACAAAUUGAUUUUACUAUGUAUUUUUUUGUUAUU